GUAGGUGAACCUGCGGAAGGAUCAUUAACAAAUCUGCUGCGUGUCGAGCCCGCAAGGGAUCGUUCAUGCAUAUACACCCCGAGCUGGUCCUGCACAGUAGUGCAAAGGUCAGCUUUGGUUGGGCAGGUCGCCCUUUGGGGAGGACUGCUCCGGAUAGUGCGUGGGAGUUUUUGGACUCUUGCGCCUAGCCACAUAGACGCUUGUAUGGUUUGACAGAGUUAUGUUGUAAAACUUAAAAAAAGACAACUUU
rnacentral:misc_RNA from 1 species